GGGUUGUGAGGUUAAGCGACUAAGCGUACACGGUGGAUGCCCUGGCAGUCAGAGGCGAUGAAGGGCGUGCUAAUCUGCGAUAAGCGCCGGUAAGGUGAUAUGAACCGUUAUAACCGGCGAUACCCGAAUGGGGAAACCCAGUGUGACUCGUCACACUAUCAUUAACUGAAUCCAUAGGUUAAUGAGGCGAACCGGGGGAACUGAAACAUCUAAGUACCCCGAGGAAAAGAAAUCAACCGAGAUUCCCCCAGUAGCGGCGAGCGAACGGGGAGGAGCCCAGAGCCUGAAUCAGCAUGUGUGUUAGUGGAAGCGUCUGGAAAGACGCGCGAUACAGGGUGACAGCCCCGUACACAAAAGCGCAUGUGUUGUGAGCUCGAUGAGUAGGGCGGGACACGUGGUAUCCUGUCUGAAUAUGGGGGGACCAUCCUCCAAGGCUAAAUACUCCUGACUGACCGAUAGUGAACCAGUACCGUGAGGGAAAGGCGAAAAGAACCCCGGCGAGGGGAGUGAAAAAGAACCUGAAACCGUGUACGUACAAGCAGUGGGAGCACAGGUUUACCUGUGUGACUGCGUACCUUUUGUAUAAUGGGUCAGCGACUUAUAUUCUGUAGCAAGGUUAACCGAAUAGGGGAGCCGGAGGGAAACCGAGUCUUAAUUGGGCGUUAAGUUGCAGGGUAUAGACCCGAAACCCGGUGAUCUAGCCAUGGGCAGGUUGAAGGUUGGGUAACACUAACUGGAGGACCGAACCGACUAAUGUUGAAAAAUUAGCGGAUGACCUGUGGCUGGGGGUGAAAGGCCAAUCAAACCGGGAGAUAGCUGGUUCUCCCCGAAAGCUAUUUAGGUAGCGCCUCGUGAACUCAUCUCCGGGGGUAGAGCACUGUUUCGGCUAGGGGGCCAUCCCGGCUUACCAACCCGAUGCAAACUGCGAAUACCGGAGAAUGUUAUCACGGGAGACACACGGCGGGUGCUAACGUCCGUCGUGAAGAGGGAAACAACCCAGACCGCCAGCUAAGGUCCCAAAGUCAUGGUUAAGUGGGAAACGAUGUGGGAAGGCCCAGACAGCCAGGAUGUUGGCUUAGAAGCAGCCAUCAUUUAAAGAAAGCGUAAUAGCUCACUGGUCGAGUCGGCCUGCGCGGAAGAUGUAACGGGGCUAAACCAUGCACCGAAGCUGCGGCAGCGA
rnacentral:rRNA from 1 species